rnacentral:sRNA from 1 species
UGAUGAAUGCAAAAACA